rnacentral:rRNA from 1 species
AGUGAACGCUGGCGGUAGGCCUAACACAUGCAAGUCGAACGGCAGCACAGUAAGAGCUUGCUCUUACGGGUGGCGAGUGGCGGACGGGUGAGGAAUACAUCGGAAUCUACUUUUUCGUGGGGGAUAACGUAGGGAAACUUACGCUAAUACCGCAUACGACCUACGGGUGAAAGCAGGGGAUCUUCGGACCUUGCGCGAUUGAAUGAGCCGAUGUCGGAUUAGCUAGUUGGCGGGGUAAAGGCCCACCAAGGCGACGAUCCGUAGCUGGUCUGAGAGGAUGAUCAGCCACACUGGAACUGAGACAGGGUCCAGACUCCUACGGGAGGCAGCAGUGGGGAAUAUUGGACAAUGGGCGCAAGCCUGAUCCAGCCGUACCGCGUGGGUGAAGAAGGCCUUCGGGUUGGAAAGCCCGUUUGUUGGGAAAGAAAAGCAGCAGGUUAAUACCCCGCGGUUCUGACGGUACCCAAAGAAUAAGCACCGGCUAACUUCGUG